rnacentral:rRNA from 1 species
GAAGGGGGAGUUGCGCUGGCCUUUUCGAGGCAUGUGCACGCUCUCCUUGAAACCUUUGCCUUAUGGGCGCGGGGCGACCCGCGUCUUCAUAUACCUCUUCGUGUAGAAAGUCUUCGAAUGUUUAUAUUAUCAUCGAGCCGCGACUUCUAGGAGACGCGGUUCUUUGAGACAAAAGUUAUUACAACUUUCAGCAAUGGAUCUCUUGGCUCUCGCAUCGAUGAAGAACGCAGCGAAUCGCGAUAUGUAAUGUGAAUUGCAGAUCUACAGUGAAUCAUCGAAUCUUUGAACGCACCUUGCGCUCCUCGGUGUUCCGAGGAGCAUGCCUGUUUGAGCGUCAGUAAAUUCUCAACCCCUCUCGAUUAGCUUCGAAAGGGCGCUUGGAUAGUGGGGGCUGCCGGAGAUCUGGACUUUUCGUCUGGGACUCGGGCUCUCCUGAAAUGAAUGGGCUUGCGGUCGGCUUUCGACUAUGCAUGACAAGGCUUUUGGCGUGAUAAUGAUCGCCGCUCGCCGAAGUGCAUGAAUGAACGGUCCCGUGCCUCUAAUGCGUCGAUGCCUUCUGGCGUCUUCCUUAUUGACUUUUGACCUCAAAUCAGGUAGGACUACCCGCUGAACUUAAGCAUAUCAAUAAGCGGAGGAAAAGAAACUAACAAGGAUUCCCCUAGUAACUGCGAGUGAACCGGGAAAAGCUCAAAUUUUGAAUCUGGCGGUCUUUAUGGCCGUCCGAGUUGU